rnacentral:rRNA from 1 species
UACAGAGGGUGCAAGCGUUGUUCGGAAUUAUUGGGCGUAAAGCGCGUGUAGGCGGCUUUGCAAGUCGGGUGUGAAAGCCCUCAGCUCAACUGAGGAAGUGCGCCCGAAACUGCAGAGCUUGAGUACCGGAGAGGAUGGCGGAAUUCCCCAAGUAGAGGUGAAAUUCGUAGAUAUGGGGAGGAACACCGGUGGCGAAGGCGGCCAUCUGGACGGAUACUGACGCUGAGACGCGAAAAGCGUGGGGAGCAAACAGGG